rnacentral:rRNA from 1 species
CGCCUCCUGCAGACUCAUAGGAGGUAGCGCCUGCUCAAUGCCCUUUGGGGUCAAUAGCCGCGGUACCCUGACCGUGCUAAGGUAGCGUAAUCAUCAGCCUAUUAAUUGUUGGCCUGUAUGAAUGGCUGGACGCUGAUAACUCUGUCUCUAUUGUGCUUAACUGAAUUUAACCUCCUGGUGAAAAGGCCAGGAUACCAUUAAAAGACGAUUAGACCCUGUCGAACUUCAGGCGAACACCAAAGUGGGUUGACCCCCCAACUUGGUAAAACCUUUGGUUGGGGAAACCGGGGACCAAAAAAAACGUCCGCCCAAAACACAAACAACAUCGGCCAGUCCAAUAAUUUUUUAUUAAAAAGCUUGACAAGGCACCUUUUACUUUUUUCGAGCCAAGAAACUCACUUGACUGUGGGAAAAGUUACCGCAGGGAUAACAGCGUAAUCCUUUCGGAGAGACCACAUUAAGGAAAGGGUUUGCGACCUCGAUGUUGGCUUAAGACACCCCAGAAGUGCAGAAGCUUCUAAAGGUUGGUCUGUUCGACCACUAACGUCUUACAU